UACGAAGGGGGGCUAGCGUUGCUCGGAAUCACUGGGCGUAAAGCGCACGUAGGCGGCUUUUUAAGUCAGGGGUGAAAUCCUGGAGCUCAACUCCAGAACUGCCUUUGAUACUGAGAAGCUUGAGUCCGGGAGAGGUGAGUGGAACUGCGAGUGUAGAGGUGAAAAUUCGUAGAUAUUCGCAAGAACACCAGUGGCGAAGGCGGCUCACUGGCCCGGUACUGACGCUGAGGUGCGAAAGCGUGGGGAGCAAACAGGAUUAGAAACCC
rnacentral:rRNA from 1 species